rnacentral:rRNA from 1 species
UGCGCCUUGCCAGCCCGCUCAGAAACUUAAAGGAAUUGACGGGGACCCGCACAAGCGGUGGAUGAUGUGGAUUAAUUCGAUGCAACGCGAAAAACCUUACCUACCCUUGACAUGUCUGGAACCCUGCUGAAAGGUGGGGGUGCUCGAAAGAGAGCCAGAACACAGGUGCUGCAUGGCUGUCGUCAGCUCGUGUCGUGAGAUGUUGGGUUAAGUCCCGCAACGAGCGCAACCCUUGUCAUUAGUUGCUACGAAAGGGCACUCUAAUGAGACUGCCGGUGACAAACCGGAGGAAGGUGGGGAUGACGUCAAGUCCUCAUGGCCCUUAUGGGUAGGGCUUCACACGUCAUACAAUGGUCGGUACAGAGGGUAGCCAACCCGCGAGGGGGAGCCAAUCCCAGAAAACCGAUCGUAGUCCGGAUCGCAGUCUGCAACUCGACUGCGUGAAGUCGGAAUCGCUAGUAAUCGCGGAUCAGCAUGUCGCGGUGAAUACGUUCCCGGGUCUU